AUUUCCCCACGAACAAGCGCCGCCAAAAGCCACCGCCCACCCAGGAAUUUUUCUCGUCAGAUUCAAUCGACACUACGACUGCGGCGAUCAGGGCCGGCAGAUUGGGGGUGGCCGCCCCGCCGUCCGAGCUCGGAUCCACCAACAUCAACCAUCCCCGUGAGCACUCCGCUAUAUUCCCCCCUGAUUUCAGCGACCGGCGACGGCGGAUUGGACGAGGCCGCCCGACCGGCCGAGCACGGAUCCACCGCAUCAACCGGCGACAGUGGAUUGGAGGCCGCCCCACCCGGCUCUCUUUCCCGAACGAUUGCAGCGAUCGGCGGCGGCUCACGCUCCAGUUACUAAAAUCAUGCCACCAGUUCUGGAGAGUGAUAUGCAUAGCAGUGAAUAUCUUGCAGAACAGAAACGCAAGGGUGAGGCGUAUUUGAAGGAAAGGGAUGCAAGGAUUGCGGAACGCAAGGCUGUAGAGAGGGAGUAUCUUAAAGACAUAAAAAGCUUAGCUCGUAGCCUUGUAUACCCUAGUGCCUCUAAUGUGCAACCGACACAAAAUGCAUGAGCUGCUGAUGAUCGCAGCGACUCAGAGUAUGAACCAGAUGCUGAAGAGGAGGCCCAUGGAGAGGAAGAGGAUUUGAGAGAUGAAGAAGAGGAGCAAGACCGGUAGCAUGAGCGAGCCAACACUUCUAACUCAUAAUGCAAUGGAAAAGAAAAGGAAAACACAAUCAGAAGGUGAGCAACCAGUAUCCGAUACAGCGAUUGUGGCUGAAGUUCUAUAGGAAGAAAGCACCCAUAGCACCUUCCUUUCCAGCAUGGGGUAUGCAUCAAGAUCCGGGAGGUCUGGGAGCUCUACUUCAUCAGCCCAGAUCAAAGUUUUAGAAGAAAGAAUUGAACAGAAGGAUAGAGAGGCAAGAGAUGCAAAUGACAGGCAUCGAGAGGAGUUAGCCGCAAGACUUGAAGCACAAGAGAGAGCAUUUGAAGAGAUACAAAAGAAGCAGCAAGAAGAAUUGGAAGCUCUAAAGAAGAUCCAGGAAGAGAAGAAUGAAGCCUGGACAAAGAAGCAAAAGAAGACGGAUAAUCUGCUUGAUUUUCUCUUGAGGGCUCAAGCAACUCAGCAAGCAACUCAGUAGUCCCAGUCCAAACCAGAUGGUUCAUGAAUGCCAUCCUUACAUUGGAAUCAUCAGGAUAACAUAUGUGUCUUUAGUUAAUAUUAGUUUUCAUCUUGUCUAUUAUAUGUGUCAAACUUGAGUCAGUUUUUUACUGUCACUUUUUUUACAGAAUGAUUUGGCUGAGACGAUUUCAUAUAUAAUAUUAUUUGAC